GUGGCUGUAGCUCAGUUGGUUAGAGCGCCAGAUUGUGGAUCUGGAGGUCGCGGGUUCAAGCCCCGUCAGUCACC
rnacentral:tRNA from 1 species